UACGAAGGGGGCUAGCGUUGCUCGGAAUCACUGGGCGUAAAGCGCACGUAGGCGGCUUUUUAAGUCAGUGGUGAAAUCCUGGAGCUCAACUCCAGAACUGCCUUUGAUACUGAGAAGCUUGAGUCCGGGAGAGGUGAGUGGAACUGCGAGUGUAGAGGUGAAAUUCGUAGAUAUUCGCAAGAACACCAGUGGCGAAGGCGGCUCACUGGCCCGGUACUGACGCUGAGGUGCGAAAGCGUGGGGAGCAAACAGG
rnacentral:rRNA from 1 species